AAUAACAAAAAUUAAAAAAAAAAUUAAAAAAAAAAAUCAGGUCAAAUCAGGUCGUUUUCGGGUUGACCCAAACCUGAAAAUAUCAGGUUCAGGUUGGGGGUUAGCUGACCCGAAACCCGAAAACCCGAACACGAACCCGACCUGAUCCGAUCCGUUUGCCACCCCUACCAACAAAGAGUUUGUGAAAAACUUACAUGGUUAAGCUGAUCUUUUUGAAGGUCUAGGACUUAUGCUUUAUCAUCUGGCGGUAGGCGGCUGCACAGCUGGCAGGUUUCUUGCUUGGAGAGAGUUGCUCCAUUGCUUCUUCUGCAUAAAAGGUCGGAUGCAUGUUAGUAAAAAAAAUAAAUAAUAAAAAAUAAAAAUUGCUAAGCAGACUCAUCCGGCCCUCUACCUCUGGUUUUUUCUGUAAUAAGGCCACAGGCGGCAAGAUAAGUGUCAUCCAUCAGCCCCUCAAACCUAGGGAUGUAAUUGUGGAGAAUUAUCUCUCUCCUAUUCCCUCCCUCUAUGGUUUUGGUGGUGACCUUAAAUAGACCAGGCAUCAGAAUUUGAUCCUAGCCUUCCUCAGUUACAGGCAAGAGAAUAGCUUUUGUGCCUAGAAGGUAUGGGUUUUGGUUCCAGAAAUUAUACCUCUGGUUCCUCCGAGUGUCUGGUGAAGAGAUAAUAUAAAAUCUGUUUCGCCGGUCCUUCCACUUGUUUUCCUUGCCCACGGUCAUCAUGUACCCUUUGUGACAAGUCAGUGUAUACCAACUAGGGCCGCUUGACUAAGGGGCUUUGCUCAGAUAAUGCAUUGAGGCAAAGGCUUCGAAGGCCGGCUCUACCCCGAGCAUAUUAUAGGCGGCGAUAUACCCUAGUAUGUUCACCCACGAAUUGGGGGCAAGUUGCCAAACCCCCAGGCGGUAACCAUCCAUAAUCUUCUCCACAUCUGGAUUAAGGGGAAAUCUUAGGCCCGCCUGUAUUGCUGCUUCGUAACAACCGAAGCAUUGGUCUCUAUUAGGGGUGUUCAAAAAUACCCGACUCGAUUAACCCGUCCCGCUGACCCGUCGACCCGAUAAAUUUAAGCGGGUAUUUUUCUGAUUUUUUUCAAAAUUGACGGGUCAAGUACCCAACCCGCUAAAAAAGAAGUGUAGCGGGUCGGGUCAUGGGCCGACUUUUGUGUUAGGCGAGUACCCGCUGACCCGCUAACUUUUUUUUUUUUUUUAAAUAUUUGAUUAUGUGUAUACUGUAGCUAGGCAAUUAGGGUUUUAUACUUUUAUGUGUGUACAGCCGUCACACAUUUUCUUCUUCCCCCUCUCUCUCCUUCACUCACAGUCACAACUCACGCACACCACACCUCCUUCUCUUUCUCUCUCCCCUUCACUCAUAGAUUCAUAGUCACAAUUUCACAAAUCAUGAAAACAUCAACAGCAAAAAUCAAGAGCAAACAUCAACCCGCAAAUCACGCAAUUAGCAUCAACAACAAAUUAACAUCAAGAGCAAGCAUUCAUUAGCCCAGUGAAUCGAACCACGGUAGAGGUCUUCGGUCCCACCGUAGCGGCACAAGCACAACCACAUGAGAGAUCUCCCAAGUCCCAUUGCAGCGACACAGCCACGCGAGACGGCAGAGAUCUCCCACCGCUGCGGCAAGUCGGCAACCGCGCGAGUAUGAGUUUUGAUUGUCGUGUUCAUAUUUGAAUUUGAAAGUUGGGUUGUUCAUUUGUGAAUGUUAAUGGUGUUUUGUGACUUUUGUCUAUGUUUAUCUUUGAUAUUUUGUAUAUUAUUUGUGGUUGCAAGCUUGCAACUAUUAUUUUUCUUAUGAUUCUUAGGUUGAAUUUUAAU